rnacentral:tRNA from 1 species
GGGUUUAGCUCAGUGGUAGAGCGCUUGCCUAGUAUGUGUGAGGCACAGAGUUUGAUCCUCAGCAUCACA